CUGAAGAUGCAGAAGAGGAAGAUGCAGAGGAUGAAGAGGAAGAUUCAGAGGAGGCUGCAGAGGAGGAGGAAGACUUGGUCUCAGCAGAGUCCACAGACAGUGGAGUUUUAGGAGACGAUGAAGAUGAGACAGAAGAGGAAGAGUCUGAUGCAGAGGAGGAUGCAGAGGAGGAAGACGACACAGAAGAGGGGGAAGAGAGCACAGAGGAGGAAGGUGCAGAGGAGGACAGCAGCUCAGUGGAAGUGGAUUUGGAUGAGACAGACACUGAUGCAGAGGAUGAAGAGCUGACAUCCGAGUCUGUGGAGAGCACCAGCCCUGAUGCAGAGGAGGAGACAGAUGAUGCAGAGGAGGCCACAGAGGAGGAGGAGGAGCAGAAGGGGGAGGAUGCAGAGGAGGAGGGAGAUGCAGAGGAUUUGGGACUGGCAGGUUCAGCUGCAGUAGCUCUGAGUGUCCAGGAGGAGGCGCCACAGGAGGAGGAGAAGGAGGAGACAGAAGCGACAGGUGA
ensembl:lncRNA